AUCCAGCUGAAGAGUCCCAAAUAGGACGAAACGCGCGUCCUCGAU
rnacentral:hammerhead_ribozyme from 1 species